rnacentral:rRNA from 1 species
UUACAAUGGGGGAACCUGAUGGUUAACGCCGCGUGGAGGAUGAAGCGCUUCGGAUUGUAAACUCCUGUCAUGCGAGAACAAGAAAGUGAUAGUAUCGCAAGAGGAAGAGACGGCUAACUCUGUGCCAGCAGCCGCGGUAAUACAGAGGUCUCAAGCGUUGUUCGGAUUCAUUGGGCGUAAAGGGUGCGUAGGCGGCGUGGUAAGUUGAGUGUGAAAUCCUAGGGCUUAACCUUAGAACUGCACUCAAUACUGCCAUGCUAGAGGAAUGUAGAGGAGAGUGGAAUUCACGGUGUAGCAGUGAAAUGCGUAGAUAUCGUGAGGAAGACCAGUUGCGAAGGCGACUCUCUGGGCAUUUCCUGACGCUGAGGCACGAAGGCCAGGGGAGCAAACGGGAUUAGAUACCCCGGUAGUCCUGGCAGUAAACGGUGCACGUUUGGUGUGGGCGGGUUCAGACCCCGUCCGUGCCGGAGCUAACGCGUUAAACGUGCCGCCUGGGAAGUACGGUCGCAAGAUUAAAACUCAAAGAAAUUGACGGGGGCCCGCACAAGCGGUGGAGUAUGUGGCUUAAUUCGAUGCAACGCGAAAGAACUUAGCUGGUCUUGACAUGCAUCUCUAAGUUAGUGAAAGCUAGCGAG